rnacentral:miRNA from 1 species
UAAAAUCGGUCACAAGGAGG